rnacentral:lncRNA from 1 species
UUUUUCCCCGAGACUUGCAUGCACACAUAGGUGUGGGGGAUCACUUGCUUGAGGUUUUUUAAGACAUUGUGCUGUAGAAAUCUCAGUGGUUAUCUUUGUCCAUUUCUGACUAUGGCAGCAUCACAUCAUGUGCAGCUUUAAAUGGCAUGCCACGUGGCUACUUGUUGAGGUCACCCAUUGAUCCCCUUUGCUGUGCUUUCAGCUGUUACUGAGUCGGGAUAGAGUGGCCUUCUCUCCUGCUCUGAGCAGUUCCUUCCUGAUGGCUUGCUCACUGGAGUGAUGGAAUUUGGGUACUGCCAGUUGCUUGGUAGAAAGCCAGAGAGCCUUUGUGACAUCUAGUCUUUAGAAAAGAGCCAACUCGCACCACAGACUUAGUGUUCUCAGCACGGUGAAGGGAGAUGACAAUCAGGAGGGCAUGUCUGAACUCAGUGUAAAGGGGAUGGAGGAUUCUUUCAUUUACUGCUUCAUUACUGUUAGCAGAGUUGGUCCGUGCCAUUGCUAAGUAGAAUAAUGAUGUUUAUUCAGGUGAGUUGACUUCAACAUUGUCUAUGAUUAUAAACUUUAAUUGCUCUCAAUGUUUUUGAAUUAUUAAUCUUAGUAAAUUUUACUUAAUAGAAAAUCUUUAAAGACAGAUAUCUGAAUGGAUGAGUCUGACUUGCCUUAAAGUUUAGUAAAUUUCAGAUGGAGUUGUGCACACAGGGAUGGAGAAGUCACCUUCUACAAUGACAAGGAAAACGAAAGGGAAUCUCACUAGCUUCUUUCUUCUCUCUGCCCAUGGCUGGGUGCUGUUGGACCACAAGGAACACAGCUGAGUUCUUCCUCAUGCUCUCCCUCCUGAGAAGAGCCCAAGGGAGGGGCUCUCCUUGCUCUACAGGGCUCAUGUUUCUCACCUGGCUUCCGAUGUGGCUCUGACUUACUGCUGGUGUCCUGCCCUGCCCUCAUUCCUGAAUUUCAUAUUUCUGUCUUACUGCCUCUUUCAGAUGUGCCUCACCUGGGCUCUGCUCGCCAGUGCUGCCCCCUAGUGGUACUUCCUCUUCCUCGGACUGCUCUGCCUGUCCCUUGUGUCACUGUGCACAGUGCUGUUGAGAAGAGAGCCAUGCAGAGGAUGGCAGUCCUCAGUUGAAGUCGGCCCCAUGCCUUUGUUUACGGUUCACAGGCUGAGUGUGUGCUCUGCUCAGCACACUCCGUAGCCUCUCCUGCCUGCUGCUUUAUAAGAUGAACACUCUUAAGCAUUCUCUUCCCCACACAUUCAACGUGGCUCUGGAUUCUGGCCUCUGCCCAGUCCGCCUGCCUCCCUCUUUGCUCUCUUGCUGCUGCUCCCUUCGCUCUGAACUCUUGAGCAUGUCAUCUUGUUUGACUUUGACCGCAUAACCCGCCCUCGGCCUCCACUGCACAUGUGUGCUGAUUUUCUGAAUGACUUUACACGGACUCUUUCUUCCUCCUUGGCCUGCAGCUUCUGUGGUCCAGGACCCUGGGUUUUUGGCAGUGUAGGCCCCAGAGCAGUGCCCGUGCGCAGGCACUCAGGCUGCAUACUGGUGCGAUGAACUAGAGGUUGCCUAAGCUGCAGGAAAUCUUUGGUUAGAACUUUAAAAAAACAAAACACUUUGCAGGAUAGCACUCUCAAAUUUAAAUGUUCAUAAUUGUAAGGAUUCUGUCCCCCUUUUGUAGCAACUAGAUACUGAGUGUGAGAGUGUGUGUGAGUGUGUAUGUGUAAAUAAGCACUGCCAUUUACUGGAACAUAGAUUCUUUGUAGGUGCAGUGCGCCCAAGGCAUUGCCUGUUUCCUGCUUGUUCCUUUACUUCAGUGCCGAUGUCUCCUUUGUCCUGAAUAACUGUCUUUCAGGCAGUCCCAACAUUCUCAUUCAUUCUUUCUCUCUGUCUACCUGCCUGUCUGUCUGUUGAAUUUUCCCACUCUUUGAAAAGCUUCAUGAGGUUUUCAUCAGUCACCAUUUGGGUGUUGACCAUGUUGUAGUGCAUAGCCCCCUUUGGCCUUCCGACCUCUGACACUCACGCUGCUCGAGGAAUUAGCCAUGACAUCUACGUUCCGAUGGUGCUGUCCACCGAAGGCAGAGGAAGCCAUGUGCCUGGCACGGCCGUCUGGCACUGGAAGAGUGUGGAGAUAAAUGCUUGCUGAUGGUAGCACCUUAUUAAAUGAGGGUCUGCUCCUGUUUUAUUUUCCUCUUGCUGGGGAAACUGUGGCCUUCUUUGAGUACUGGUAAGUGAGAGGCCGCAGCAGUGUUGAGUUGGAGGCCCUGCUGUCUGGCAGACACUUGUGGAUCUUGGAAUGCCUUUAAAGGACUUGCCACACCACAUUGAGUGUCAGCUACUCACUCAGAGAUCUCAGAAGGUAGAAAGUGCAUCCUGGCGUGGUUACUUCCUUUCUCUGCUUUGGAAGUAGUGUAUUUAAAGACAUAACUAGGACCAUUACUUUGAAUAGGGACAGAAAGGAAUCUCAUGAUAUUGUAUUGAUUUGUGUAUAUAUUAGUUUCCACUAAGUAAAUAAUUUAAUAGAAUAGUCAUCAAAUGGGAGGGGCACUCUGGCUUCUUUCCCUGCCGUGUUCAUGCUUCCUGUUUGUCUCAGAGUGGCUGAUCCAUGCCCUGAGGAAAGGGGGCGAGGUCAUGAGAGCAGAAGGGGCCUGGAGGAUGGCAGUGUGGAGAGGUCCCUGUGUGUGUGGGGGG